rnacentral:rRNA from 1 species
CAGCAGCCGCGGGAAUACGGAGGGUGCAAGCGUUAAUCGGAACUACUGGGCGUAAAGCGCACGCAGGCGGUUUGUUAAGUCAGAUGUGAAAUCCCCGAGCUUAACUUGGGAACUGCAUUUGAAACUGGCAAGCUAGAGUCUUGUAGAGGGGGGUAGAAUUCCAGGUGUAGCGGUGAAAUGCGUAGAGAUCUGGAGGAAUACCGGUGGCGAAGGCGGCCCCCUGGACAAAGACUGACGCUCAGGUGCGAAAGCGUGGGGAGCAAACAGGAUUAGAUACCCCAGUAGUCCCUGUCUCUUAUAC